GACGAACGCUGGCGGCGUGCUUAACACAUGCAAGUCGAGCGGUAAGGCCCUUUCGGGGGUACGACGAGCGGCGAACGGGUGAGUAACACGUGGGUGACCUGCCCUCAGCUCUGGGAUAAGCCCGGGAAACUGGGUCUAAUACUGGAUAUGACUCCACGGUGCAUGCCGUGGGGUGGAAAGCCUUGUGCGGCUGAGGAUGGGCCCGCGGCCUAUCAGCUUGUUGGUGGGGUGANGGCCUACCAAGGCGACGACGGGUAGCCGGCCUGAGAGGGCGACCGGCCACACUGGGACUGAGACACGGCCCAGACUCCUACGGGAGGCAGCAGUGGGGAAUCUUGCGCAAUGGGCGAAAGCCUGACGCAGCGACG
rnacentral:rRNA from 1 species